rnacentral:rRNA from 1 species
UACCGGAGGAGCAAGCGUUGUUCGGAUUUACUGGGCGUAAAGCGUGCGCAGGCGGCUUUGCAAGACAGAUGUGAAAUCCCCGGGCUUAACCUGGGAACUGCAUUUGUGACUGCAUGGCUGGAGUGCGGCAGAGGGGGAUGGAAUUCCGCGUGUAGCAGUGAAAUGCGUAGAUAUGCGGAGGAACACCGAUGGCGAAGGCAAUCCCCUGGGCCUGCACUGACGCUCAUGCACGAAAGCGUGGGGAGCAAACAGG